UACGAAGGGUGCAAGCGUUACUCGGAAUUACUGGGCGUAAAGCGUGCGUAGGUGGUUUGUUAAGUCUGUUGUGAAAGCCCCCGGGCUCAACCUGGGAAUGGCAAUGGAUACUGGCAAGCUAGAGUGCGGUAGAGGGUAGUGGAAUUCCCCGGUGUAGCGGUGAAAUGCGUAGAGAUCCGGAAGAACACCGGUGGCGAAGGCGGUUACCUGGACAGUUACUGACGCUCAGGCACGAAAGCGUGGGGAGCAAAAGGG
rnacentral:rRNA from 1 species